AGAGUUUGAUCAUGGCUCAGAUUGAACGCUGGCGGCAGGCUUAACACAUGCAAGUCGAGCGGGGAAAUGUAGCUUGCUACAUUACCUAGCGGCGGACGGGUGAGUAAUGCUUAGGAAUCUGCCUAUUAGUGGGGGACAACAUUUCGAAAGGAAUGCUAAUACCGCAUACGCCCUACGGGGGAAAGCAGGGGAUCUUCGGACCUUGCGCUAAUAGAUGAGCCUAAGUCGGAUUAGCUAGUUGGUGGGGUAAAGGCCUACCAAGGCGACGAUCUGUAGCGGGUCUGAGAGGAUGAUCCGCCACACUGGGACUGAGACACGGCCCAGACUCCUACGGGAGGCAGCAGUGGGGAAUAUUGGACAAUGGGGGGAACCCUGAUCCAGCCAUGCCGCGUGUGUGAAGAAGGCCUUUUGGUUGUAAAGCACUUUAAGCGAGGAGGAGGCUACCUAGAUUAAUACUCUGGGAUAGUGGACGUUACUCGCAGAAUAAGCACCGGCUAACUCUGUGCCAGCAGCCGCGGUAAUACAGAGGGUGCAAGCGUUAAUCGGAUUUACUGGGCGUAAAGCGUGCGUAGGUGGCCAAUUAAGUCAAAUGUGAAAUCCCCGAGCUUAACUUGGGAAUUGCAUUCGAUACUGGUUGGCUAGAGUAUGGGAGAGGAUGGUAGAAUUCCAGGUGUAGCGGUGAAAUGCGUAGAGAUCUGGAGGAAUACCGAUGGCGAAGGCAGCCAUCUGGCCUAAUACUGACACUGAGGUACGAAAGCAUGGGGAGCAAACAGGAUUAGAUACCCUGGUAGUCCAUGCCGUAAACGAUGUCUACUAGCCGUUGGGGUCUUUGAGACUUUAGUGGCGCAGCUAACGCGAUAAGUAGAC
rnacentral:rRNA from 1 species